CCCGCACAGGCGGUGGAGCAUGUGGUUUAAUUCGAUGCAACGCGAAGAACCUUACCUACUCUUGACAUCCACAGAACUUUCCAGAGAUGGAUUGGUGCCUUCGGGAACUGUGAGACAGGUGCUGCAUGGCUGUCGUCAGCUCGUGUUGUGAAAUGUUGGGUUAAGUCCCGCAACGAGCACAACCCCUAUCCUUAUUUGCCAGCACGUAAUGGUGGGAACUCUAGGGAGACUGCCGGUGAUAAACCGGAGGAAGGUGGGGACGACGUCAAGUCAUCAUGACCCUUACGAGUAGGGCUACACACGUGCUACAAUGGCCGGUACAAAGGGUUGCGAAGCCGUGAGGUGGAGCGAAUCUCAAAAAGCCGGCCUCAGUUCGGAUUGGAGGCUGCAACUCGCCUCCAUGAAGUCGGAAUCGCUAGUAACCGCAGAUCAGCUACGUUGCGGUGAAUACGUUCCCGGGCCUU
rnacentral:rRNA from 1 species